GCGCGAAAACUUUACAAUGCGGGAAACCGCGAUAAGGGGAUACUGAGUGCCAGCAUAUUAUGUUGGCUGUCCACCUGUAUAAACAGCAUGUGUAGCAAGGCCGG
rnacentral:rRNA from 1 species